rfam:Oryza glumipatula chromosome 12, whole genome shotgun sequence.
AAUAAGUGCAGUUUUGCACUGUUCAUGUCCAAAGUUUGACCGUUCGUCUUAUUUGAAUUUUUUUUAGAUUAGUAUUUUAUUGUUAUUAGAUGAUAAAACAUGAAUAGUACUUUAUGUGUGAGUAUUUUUUUUUCUAAUUUUUCCAUUAAAUUUUAAAAUAAGAUGAAUGGUCAAAUAUGUUGGACACGGAUAUCCACAGCUGCGUUUAUU